rnacentral:RNase_P_RNA from 1 species
AAAGUUUGACAGACAAUCGCUGGUGGUGCAAACCACGAGAGGAAAGUCCGGGCUCCACAAGGCAGGAUGCUGGAUAACGUCCAGUCAGCGCGAGUUGAAGGAUAGUGCCACAGAAAUGGACCGCCGAUGGCCGCUUAUGCGGCACAGGUAAGGGUGGAACCGUGGUGUAAGAGACCACGAGGAACGCUGGUGACUUCGUUCCUGGUAAACCCCAUCUGGAGCAAGACCUAAUGGGACGCAAGCCCUGCAAAGGGCUAACCUUAGCCUGAGGUGCGUCUGGGUUGGUCGCUGGAGCUGCUUAGUAAUAGGCAGCCUAGAUAGAUGAUUGUCACUCCGUAGUGGGAGGGUUGUUCCCGUAAUACCACGAUCAGUACAGAACCCGGCUUAUGGCAAGCUUUCCAU